rnacentral:rRNA from 1 species
UACGUAGGGUGCAAGCGUUAAUCGGAAUUACUGGGCGUAAAGCGUGCGCAGGCGGUGAUGUAAGACAGUUGUGAAAUCCCCGGGCUCAACCUGGGAACUGCAUCUGUGACUGCAUCGCUGGAGUGCGGCAGAGGGGGAUGGAAUUCCGCGUGUAGCAGUGAAAUGCGUAGAUAUGCGGAGGAACACCGAUGGCGAAGGCAAUCCCCUGGGCCUGCACUGACGCUCAUGCACGAAAGCGUGAGGAGCAAACAGG